rnacentral:rRNA from 1 species
GAUGAACGCUGGCGGCGUGCCUAAUACAUGCAAGUCGAGCGAAUGGAUUAAGAGCUUGCUCUUAUGAAGUUAGCGGCGGACGGGUGAGUAACACGUGGGUAACCUGCCCAUAAGACUGGGAUAACUCCGGGAAACCGGGGCUAAUACCGGAUAAUAUUUUGAACUGCAUGGUUCAAAAUUGAAAGGCGGCUUCGGCUGUCACUUAUGGAUGGACCCGCGUCGCAUUAGCUAGUUGGUGAGGUAACGGCCCACCAAGGCAACGAUGCGUAGCCGACCUGAGAGGGUGAGCGGCCACACUGGGACUGAGACACGGCCCAGACUCCUACGGGAGGCAGCAGUAGGGAAUCUGCCGCAAUUGACGAAAGUCUGACGGAGCAACGCCGCGUGAGUGAUGAAGGCUUUCGGGUCGUAAAACUCUGUUGUUAGGGAAGAACAAGUGCUAGUUGAAUAAGCUGGCACCUUGACGGUACCUAACCAGAAAGCCACGGCUAACUACGUGCCAGCAGCCGCGGUAA